CACGAAAGUGGACGUAUAGGGUGUGAUGCCUGCCCGGUGCUGGAAGGUUAAAUGAUGGGGUUAGCGUAAGCGAAGCUCUUGAUUGAAGCCCCAGUAAACGGCGGCCGUAACUAUAACGGUCCUAAGGUAGCGAAAUUCCUUGUCGGGUAAGUUCCGACCUGCACGAAUGGCAUAAUGAUGGCCACGCUGUCUCCAGCAGAGACUCAGUGAAAUCGAAAUCGCAGUGAAGAUGCUGUGUACCCGCGGCUAGACGGUAAGACCCCGUGAACCUUUACUACAGCUUUACAUUGAACUUUGACCUGACUUGUGCAGGAUAGGUGGGAGGCUAUGAAGCAGAUACGCCAGUAUUUGUGGAGUCAACCUUGAAAUACCACCCUGGUCAUGUUGGGGUUCUAACUUAGAUAUUCACAAUAUCGAGGACAAUGUAUGGUGGGUAGUUUGACUGGGGCGGUCUCCUCCUAAAGAGUAACGGAGGAGUACGAAGGUGCGCUCAGAACGGUCGGAAAUCGUUCAAAGAGUAUAAAGGCAAAAGCGCGCUUAACUGCGAGACCCACAAGUCGAGCAGGUACGAAAGUAGGUCUUAGUGAUCCGGUGGUUCUGUAUGGAAGGGCCAUCGCUCAACGGAUAAAAGGUACUCUGGGGAUAACAGGCUGAUACCGCCCAAGAGUUCAUAUCGACGGCGGUGUUUGGCACCUCGAUGUCGGCUCAUCUCAUCCUGGGGCUGAAGCAGGUCCCAAGGGUAUGGCUGUUCGCCAUUUAAAGAGGUACGCGAGCUGGGUUUAGAACGUCGUGAGACAGUUCGGUCCCUAUCUACCGUGGGCGUUGGAAAUUUGAGAGGAUCUGCUCCUAGUACGAGAG
rnacentral:rRNA from 1 species